rnacentral:rRNA from 1 species
GAGUUUGAUCGUGGCUCAGGAUGAACGCUGGCGGCGUGCCUAAUACAUGCAAGUCGAGCGAACGGACGAGAAGCUUGCUUCUCUGAUGUUAGCGGCGGACGGGUGAGUAACACGUGGAUAACCUACCUAUAAGACUGGGAUAACUUCGGGAAACCGGAGCUAAUACCGGAUAAUAUUUUGAACCGCAUGGUUCAAAAGUAAAAGACGGUCUUGCUGUCACUUAUAGAUGGAUCCGCGCUGCAUUAGCUAGUUGGUAAGGUAACGGCUUACCAAGGCACGAUGCAUAGCCGACCUGAGAGGGUGAUCGGCCACACUGGAACUGAGACACGGUCCAGACUCCUACGGGAGGCAGCAGUAGGGAAUCUUCCGCAAUGGGCGAAAGCCUGACGGAGCAACGCCGCGUGAGUGAUGAAGGUCUUCGGAUCGUAAAACUCUGUUAUUAGGGAAGAACAUAUGUGUAAGUAACUGUGCACAUCUUGACGGUACCUAAUCAGAAAGCCACGGCUAACUACGUG